UUCUUUUUCUUCAUCGCCGUUUUCUCUCCUCACCUGCACCUACCUCCCUCACCCGACAUCGAAGCCUCUUCAUCUUUCCCCCAACCGGCACCGCCCUCCCGAGCUCUUCGCCUUCUCCAUAUUAGACGCGGCGUUUCUUCUCUACGAGUACAAAAGCUUCGAGUCGAGCCUUCCCCUUGCAUCGAUUCUUUUUCCUCUUCUUUCCCUCUGCCCUAGCGUCUCCACCCUUGCCCCCUCUCCACCGAUCGCCGGUCACCAGCGCCUGCCACCUAGUGACAGCAACCUCUUCCUCCCCCUUCUCUAGAGGCCAGAUCGGUGACGCAGCCGAGCACCCGUGUCUGUUGGGUCGUGCCCUAGAUUGGGUCCACGGCUAUCGGCGCCCCUUUUUCGGACGCCGAGGGAGUUGUCCACAGCUGCGAGCACCGUCAUCACUAGAGUUGAGCCGCUGGACUUCCAUCAGCCUGAGGCAGCAUCUCCUCCUCUCGGGCUCUAGUAGUGUUGUUCUGAUCGCCGACCGCUAGCUCCUCUGCCAGACUAGGCACCAUAGUAGCCACCACCAGACCUUCCUCUUCCCGAUUCUUCACUGUCAUCUCCUCUCUGUGCCCUAGAGCCAGCGUCGCACAUACCUCGGGUAACUUUCAAUCUAUUCUCGAUCUGUUGCUAGCAACAGCUCUGUUUGAUUUCUUGCUGCCAUCACCGAAGAAGAGGAAGGUUAGUGGGGAAUUGGGCGUAGUGGUUUGAUUACAGCCAUUUUCUUCGAUGGUGAAUCAUUAGGGCAGAUCUGGAUUUGGGACUCUGAUUCACGACGAGUUGCCUUACGUGGGAUUACCUUUGGCACGCGCUAUAUCGGAGGCGGGUACCUUGACUUAUCUCUUUUGAUAUGUCAUGUUGAUAUGCAUAGUAGGUUAUAACCUUUAGUAUUAAUUAUGUUUAUCUUUGCUUUGGUAUGUCACUACAUGAUACCCGUUGCAUACUUUUAUCUGUUCUGCAUUCAUGUUUUAUACCCUCUUGUUUAUUGCCAUAAUUAUUUUUGCUCAUAGUGGUAGUAACAUACCAUGCCUUAGGAUACACCGGACUAGACAUUUACCAUAUCUGACCCGUGUACUUAGAUCUGUUUUAUUUGAUCCAUUUAUUUUUGGUAUAUAUUUUAUGGAGGUAGAUAUGGUCAGGGUUUUCAUGCUUAGUGUUAUGCAUCAUC